UCCCAUAAAGAUACUCAAAGUGAAAAGAAAUUGUUCUAAAUCAGACAACUACUAACUGGACCCAAACCACUCCAAGCCUAUCUGACAUAAAACACAGAGGUGGUGACUUCAGUUCAAGGUGAUAGCUCCCUCUUCCUAGACAUCCAUACCUCCCACACAAGCUUUUUCUACCCUCUCCAAAAUCAUGGAGUCAGCAUAGAAUGAAAUACUUGUCUUCAGGACUCAUGCACUUGUUGGAAAGAUACAAGACAACCUCAUCUUUCACAUGGCCUACAAACUCCUACUGGGUAACCUGAACUUGUUGCUCAAAGGAUUUGGUUAAAAAGAUGAAGUGAGGGGGUGCAGAAAAGGUACAACCAGUUAUCAUUUGAUCAUGGAAAGCCUGGAAAGAAGAAAAUACAUGUUUAGUCCACCUUGCUUUUAAAGACAUCAUUUCAGUGACAGGGUGAAAAUCUAAUCAGAUUAACCUGAAAUGGACUAUGCAAAUGGAGUCCUUGUAACGCAGUGAUGCUGAAAACCGGAUCUGAACGCGUGCUUUGGAAUCCAGAUCUGAGAGCAGAUGCAUGUGUGAUGGCACAAGAAUGUUUUUAUCUCAAUUACUAAAAAUGCUGCACUGAGGGAAGAGGAGGGGCAUGCUGGCAGGCAGCUGCAAACAGCUGUGAACAAGCUGCCCUUCCCCACUCACAGGGUGCUCAGCAGGACUGCCCAACCAGCGAAUGAAGAAGCAGGGGAACUCAGACUGCUUCAGUGAAAGGAAAUUUGCACGAAUGAGGAUAUCUACAAAGCAAUGAUUCCUUUCUGUCAGCUUCACUGCAUUGCUGCUGAGGCUAAACCCCUGAUAUGAAGUCACUGAAAAGGCUGCCCAAAAUGAGAUAUACACAGGCUGCUGUUAGGCUCCUCUGUAACCCAGUUCAUUGCUUGGAAGAAAAGGGCACUGCUAUCUGGAAUACAGCAGCUGGGUGAUAAACAGCCAGUGACUAUGGAGCAUUUUUGGGAGAAUCACUGUCAGACUGACAGCUUCAGACAUAUAUGGCUUUAUGUAUGGGAAUAAAAUUAUGCUUAAAAAAUCCUUCAAAA